AUACGUAGGUGGCAAGCGUUGUCCGGAAUUAUUGGGCGUAAAGCGCAUGUAGGCGGUUUGGUAAGUCGGUCGUGAAAAUGCGGUGCUUAACGCCGUAUGGCGAUUGAAACUGCUGAACUUGAGUGCAGGAGAGGAAAGGGGAACUCCCAGUGUAGCGGUGAAAUGCGUGGAUAUUGGGAAGAACACCGGUGGCGAAGGCGCUUGUCUGGACUGUGUCUGACGCUCAGAUGCGAAAGCCAGGGUAGCGAACGGGAUUAGAUACCCCGGUAGUCCUGGCCGUAAACGAUGGGUACUAGGUGUGGGAGGUAUCGACUCCUUCCGUGCCGGAGUUAACGCAAUAAGUACCCCGCCUGGGGAGUACGGCCGCAAGGCUUAAACUCAAAUGAAUUGACGGGG
rnacentral:rRNA from 1 species